rnacentral:rRNA from 1 species
AGAGUUGAUCAUGGCUCAGAACGAACGCUGGCGGCGCGUCUUAAGCAUGCAAGUCGAACGGCAAGAGGUAGCAAUACCUCCUAGAGUGGCGGACUGGUGAGUAACACGUGGGUGACAUACCCUUCAGAUGGGGAUAGCUAUUAGAAAUAGUAGAUAAUACCGAAUACGAGCACAGGGGUUAGAGAUCUGUGAGGAAAGGAGCUAAGGCUCCGCUGAAGGAAUGGCCUGCGGCCCAUUAGCUAGUUGGUGAGGUAAGAGCCCACCAAGGCGAUGAUGGGUAUCCGGCCUUAGAGGGUGAACGGACACAUUGGGACUGAGAUACGGCCCAGACUCCUACGGGAGGCAGCAGCUAAGAAUCUUCCGCAAUGGGCGAAAGCCUGACGGAAGCGACGCCGCGUGAACGAAGAAGGCCGUGAGGUUGUAAAGUUCUUUUCGGGAGGGGGAACAACCGUGGCAGGGAAUGGCCGCGGGAUGACGUGAAUCCCGGAAUAAGCCCCGGCUAACUACGUGCCAGCCGCGGC